rnacentral:rRNA from 1 species
AGUAACGGCGAGUGAAGCGGCAAGAGCUCAGAUUUGAAAUCCGGCGCGGCCCCCGCGCCCGAGUUGUAAUCUGGAGAGGAUGCCCCGGCGAGGCCGGCCGUCCAAGUUCCUUGGAACAGGACGUCUCAGAGGGUGAGAACCCCGUACCCGGCGGCCUGCCGAGCCGCGCGGGGCUCCUUCGACGAGUCGAGUUGUUUGGGA